GACGAACGCUGGCGGCGUGCUUAACACAUGCAAGUCGAACGGAAAGACCUGCUUUCCCUUGUGGUGUGCUGGUACUCGAGUGGCUAACUGGUGAGUGACACGUGAGUGUUCUGCCCCCAACUUGGGUAUAAGCCUGGGAAACUGUGUCGAAUUCCCGAUAGGACUGCAGGGUGGUGCCGGUGGUGGAAAACGUUUUUCUAGUGGUUGAGGAUGAGCUCGCGGCCUAUCAGCUUGUUGGGGGGGUAAUGGACUACCAAGGCGGCGACGGGUAGCCGGACUGAGAGGGUGGACGGCCAAAUUGAGACUGGGAUACGGCCCAGACUCCUACGGGCGGCAGCAGUGGGGCAUAUUGCACCAUGGGCGGAAGGGUGCUGCAGCGCGGCAGCGUGGGGGAUGACGGGCUUCGGGUUGUAAACUCCUUUCGACGGAGAGGAAGCCACGUGGUUGGAAGGGUGGUGACGGUAGUGGUAGAAGAAGCACCGGCUAACUACGUG
rnacentral:rRNA from 1 species